rnacentral:misc_RNA from 1 species
AAGGAUGCAUACCAUCAAUUUUUACUUUCGGUUGAUCAGGUUAAAAUUCAAAAUAAUAUAAGGGAUGAACUUCGCAAAGAAACUCUACAGCUGGCUAGGGAGAAUUUGGACAAGGAGCCACAAAUAAUGGAGCUAAGGAACCAGUGCAGAAUAAUACGGACAACUGGAUUGGCUGCUGCCCAUGAGAAAUUAAAUGAACUGGACAAACAGAAAGAAGAGAUUUUGAGGUCCUGCUCCCUUGUAUCCCUUCUCCAAAGGCUUCAAGAAGGAAUGAAUAAGACAGAAGAGGAAUCUGAAACCCUACACAGACAACUUCUUGACAGGGAGAUAGAAGUAGCAGCUUUUAUUCAGAAAUACAAAAAACUCCGCAUAACCUACCACAGACGAGCACUUAUCCAUC